rnacentral:rRNA from 1 species
CAACCGAGAUUCCCCCAGUAGCGGCGAGCGAACGGGGAGGAGCCCAGAGCCUGAAUCAGUGUGUGUGUUAGUGGAAGCGUCUGGAAAGGCGCGCGAUACAGGGUGACAGCCCCGUACACAAAAAUGCACAUAUUGUGAGCUCGAUGAGUAGGGCGGGACACGUGGUAUCCUGUCUGAAUAUGGGGGGACCAUCCUCCAAGGCUAAAUACUCCUGACUGACCGAUAGUGAACCAGUACCGUGAGGGAAAGGCGAAAAGAACCCCGGCGAGGGGAGUGAAAAAGAACCUGAAACCGUGUACGUACAAGCAGUGGGAGCCUCUUAAUGGGGUGACUGCGUACCUUUUGUAUAAUGGGUCAGCGACUUAUAUUCUGUAGCAAGGUUAACCGAAUAGGGGAGCCGAAGGGAAACCGAGUCUUAACUGGGCGUUAAGUUGCAGGGUAUAGACCCGAAACCCGGUGAUCUAGCCAUGGGCAGGUUGAAGGUUGGGUAACACUAACUGGAGGACCGAACCGACUAAUGUUGAAAAAUUAGCGGAUGACUUGUGGCUGGGGGUGAAAGGCCAAUCAAACCGGGAGAUAGCUGGUUCUCCCCGAAAGCUAUUUAGGUAGCGCCUCGUGAAUUCAUCUCCGGGGGUAGAGCACUGUUUCGGCAAGGGGGUCAUCCCGACUUACCAACCCGAUGCAAACUGCGAAUACCGGAGAAUGUUAUCACGGGAGACACACGGCGGGUGCUAACGUCCGUCGUGAAGAGGGAAACAACCCAGACCGCCAGCUAAGGUCCCAAAGUCAUGGUUAAGUGGGAAACGAUGUGGGAAGGCCCAGACAGCCAGGAUGUUGGCUUAGAAGCAGCCAUCAUUUAAAGAAAGCGUAAUAGCUCACUGGUCGAGUCGGCCUGCGCGGAAGAUGUAACGGGGCUAAACCAUGCACCGAAGCUGCGGCAGCGACACUAUGUGUUGUUGGGUAGGGGAGCG